rnacentral:rRNA from 1 species
UACGGAGGAUGCGAGCGUUAUCCGGAUUUAUUGGGUUUAAAGGGUGCGCAGGCGGUCUGUUAAGUCAGCGGUCAAAGCCCGGGGCUCAACCCCGGCCCGCCGUUGAAACUGGCAGUCUCGAGUUGGAGAGAAGUAUGCGGAAUGCGCGGUGUAGCGGUGAAAUGCAUAGAUAUCACGCAGAACUCCGAUUGCGAAGGCAGCAUACCGGCGCCCAACUGGCGCUCAGGCACGAAAGCGUGGGUAUCGAACAGG